UAAAAUAUUUAAUACGAUUAUCAGUUUUAUUCGAAUUGUUCAAGUGUAAAGAUGAUAUUUCGACUUGUUUGUGUUUAUUGUAUUAUUUUCUCAAGUUUAUUUGUGAGUCAGAUUGGGACAAGCAGAAUAUAUGGAUCAUUUAAAGAUGCGAGGUAUCCGUAAAGUUGUGUCAUCGAUGAGAAAACAAUUUUAAGGCAAAUGGAGUCUAUGAAAGAUCCAUUUGUUCAGUGUGGCCUUAUAAUUUGUGGUAAAAAUUCUAUUGUAGAGUUUAAAAGUUGUCCUUUACAAACAGUGCCACCUAAUUGCAAGUUAGCUCAUCUACUGGAUCCUUCGCUAUCAUAUCCUCAAUGCUGCGAAAGAGAAAUUGAAUGUUGGAAUUAUAAUCAUAUUAUGUAAAGCUUUUUUUAUUGAGGUUUUUAAUAAAACUAAAUGAAAUUGAA